AAACCAACAGGGAUUGCCUUAGUAACGGCGAGUGAAGCGGCAAAAGCUCAAAUUUGAAAUCUAGCACUUUCAGUGUUCGAGUUGUAAUUUGAAGAAGGUAUCUUUGGAGUUGGCCCCUGUCUAUGUUCCUUGGAACAGGACGUCACAGAGGGUGAGAAUCCCGUGCGAUGGGGAGACCAAUUCUAUGUAAAGUUCCUUCGAAGAGUCGAGUUGUUUGGGAAUGCAGCUCUAAGUGGGUGGUAAAUUCCAUCUAAAGCUAAAUAUUGGCGAGAGACCGAUAGCGAACAAGUACAGUGAUGGAAAGAUGAAAAGAACUUUGAAAAGAGAGUGAAAAAGUACGUGAAAUUGUUGAAAGGGAAGGACUUUUGAUCAGACUUGGUGUUUAGUACUCUCUACUCCUUGUGGGUGGGGCUCUUGCUUUAUACUGGGCCAGCAUCGGUUUGGGUGGCAGGAUAAUGGCAUUGGAAUGUGGCUUCAUUCGUGGAGUGUUAUAGCCUUUGUUGAUACUGCCUAUCUAGACCGAGGACUGCGUCUUUGACUAGGAUGCUGC
rnacentral:rRNA from 1 species